AUAAUGGUAACAACUGCCUAUACAAGGACUUUGCUGUUGCUAUCCUGUCUCAUAGUCCUGCAGAGCCCUGGCAACACACAGCUCACCAGCAGUAGGCGAUAUCACCGGAAAAGCUAUUCACAUAAGUGGCAGUGGACCCUGAAGGAGGCUUUAGCAGGCAGCGCGUGGGUAAUACAGAUAGACAGGAUCUCGUGUUGCGGACAGAAGACAUCCGGCCACCGGAAGAAAAAGGAUACACUGACCGUUGGAAAGAAGUCACCAGAGAGAGAGCCGAAGACAGAAUGACAUCCACUGCACACACAGUGCUUCUCUAGGAAUGGAUUUUGUGGAGCCCGGGUGGGAGCCUAGACUCCGCGCCAUGACACUGCCAGAGACAACACUGUCUGCACUGAUGGACGGAAUCCUUCCUGCCUCUCACCCACGUGACACAUCCAUGGGAAAUGCUCUUCUAUCUUUAUUUAUAUUAUUUUCUCUUAUAUAAUAAAGUCUUACAGUACAGAA